rnacentral:lncRNA from 1 species
GGGUGCUCAUAUUGAAGUCAACAGAGAAGAGCUACAGCUCAAUAAAAAGAGAUUAACAUGAAGAUAUAUUUCUACAAGAUUAAGAGGUUAUAUUCAGAUUUGUGGUGUGGUGAAUUUGCUCAUAUUCUUUGCGAUUAUUUCUAAUGCUUAUGUGUUUUAAUUGCUUUUUCCCGAUUUUGCUCAAUCAUAUUUUAGUAAAUGAAGCCAUGUGGUACUGUAUAUGUGGCACUUUCAUUAUCUACGUUUUGUUCUUUUCAUGUGAUGUUGAUAAUUUAGAAGAUCUUUCAAAUUUCAGGAAGGAGGAGGAUCGUAUGUGUGAUUGGCGGAACUACGGAUCAGUUGGUGCAACAUUGCUUAAGAUACAUCGAUAACCUCAACUCAGUAAACCUAUGUGAUUCAUGCAUCUACUGAGUAAGUUUAUUUCAAAUAUCUUUUGCUGUCUUUUUACCUGUCUUUGGUAAACGAUUAUGCAGAGUCUUCUGUCCAUAGCUCAAAACAAGCAAAGUAUUUGCUUUGGCCAUAAUGGAGAUGAAAAUCUAUUUGAUUUACUUAAUCUGCUUUGUUUUCUGUAACAACUUCAAUGAUUUGAAUUUACGCCUUAUAGUUACUUUCUGAAUUGUAACCUCGGGUGAAUAGGUUUGUCUUAAUCUUUUUUUGAUGAUACACAGACUUGAGAAGAAGAUCACAUUUUGGUUUGCCAUCUUUCUUUGGUGAUACACAGAGACUUGAUAAGAGAUUUUGGGCAAAUAGCUAUUAAAAAAUCCUUUUAAAUAUUUUAAAGUAAGCCCACAAUCAAGAAGUUUUAGUUUUUUUUUUUGUUAAAUGAGACUAGCAUUUUAGUUUUUUUUUGUGAACCUUCUGAGCAAUACAUACAAACACUUCUUCUGAGUUUUAAAAGUUUACACUUGAUUAUAAUAUUUUUUCCUUAAAUUUAUACUUCUUUGACGUCUUAAUCAACUAAGUUUAUUUUUUUUUGUUAAAUGAUCAAGUCAUAUUGAUUAUGAACAAUACAAGCAUUCUUCUCUUAUCAAGUAGAAAUCACAUACGUAUUGAAUUAGCAAAGAAUAUAUGUGUUUUCAGCGUAGCGGAAAAUUGCAGGGAUUUAUUCGGAGUUUCUACUUAUAUUUUCUUUCUUUUUGAAACUAAUUCUACUUGAUAUUCCGUCCGGGAGUGUCAUAUGUUAGGGGAGGAGCAUCGUUUGGCUCUGUUUUUGAUGUGCAACUCUAGCGGUUAUAGAAACAAUAUCGAGUUAAUGAUAGCUGCUAGAUUUAUGUUGAGGGAGUUAUGAAAGACUUUACUUUCGGUUAGAGUGAUGGGAGAAAGCAAGGAAAACUCAAAGUUGUUUUUUUUUUUUGAAAAAAACUCAAAAUUGUUUUUCCACAAGAAAGAAAUCUGAUUCAUUCAGUUCUCUGCUUCUUUCUCAUAUAAAGCAAACGACAAGGCCAAAGAAUUAAAAAAAAAAGGCUUAGGAAUCUCAAAAUGAUCAAAUUUCCAAUAUCUUCAGGAGUCUCUUC